rnacentral:rRNA from 1 species
AGGGAAUAUUGCGCAAUGGACGGAAGUCUGACGCAGCGACGCCGCGUGAGCGAUGAAGGCCUUCGGGUUGUAAAGCUCUGUCCUUGGGGAAGAAGGUCUUCGGACUUGACGGUACCCAAGAAGAAAGCCCCGGCUAACUACGUGCCAGCAGCCGCGGUAAUACGUAGGGGGCGAGCGUUGUCCGGAAUUACUGGGCGUAAAGGGUGCGUAGGCGGCCCUUUAAGUCAGAUGUGAAAGCCCGCAGCUUAACUGCGGAAUUGCAUUUGAAACUGGAGGGCUUGAGUGUCGGAGAGGGUAGUGGAAUUCCCAGUGUAGCGGUGAAAUGCGUAGAUAUUGGGAGGAACACCAGUGGCGAAGGCGACUGCCUGGACGAUAACUGACGCUGAGGCACGAAAGCUAGGGGAGCAAAC